rnacentral:rRNA from 1 species
GACGAACGCCGGCGGCGUGCUUAACACAUGCAAGUCGAACGGAAAGGCCCUGCUUGCAGGGUACUCGAGUGGCGAACGGGUGAGUAACACGUGGGUGAUCUGCCCUGCACUUCGGGAUAAGCUUGGGAAACUGGGUCUAAUACCGGAUAGGAACCAUCUUCAGUGUGGGGAUUGGAAAGUUUUUUCGGUGUAGGACGAGCUCGCGGCCUAUCAGCUUGUUGGUGGAGUAAGGGCCUACCAAGGCGGCGACGGGUAGCCGGCCUGAGAGGGUGUACGGCCACAUUGGGACGGAGCUACGGCCCAGACUCCUACGGGAGGCAGGAGUGGGGAAUAUUGCACAAUGGGCGCAAGCCUGAUGCAGCGACGCCGCGUGGGGGAUGAAGGCCUUCGGGCUGUAAACUCCUUUCGCUAGGGACGAAGCUUUGUUGUGACGGUACCUAGAUAAGAAGCACCGGCUAACUACGUG